GGUUCCAUGGUGUAGCGGUUAGCAAGUCUGCUUUACAUGCAGAAGGUCCUGGGUUCAUGCAGCAGUGGAGCCA
rnacentral:tRNA from 1 species